AUUGAACGCUGGCGGCAUGCCUUACACAUGCAAGUCGAACGGCAGCACGGGAGCAAUCCUGGUGGCGAGUGGCGAACGGGUGAGUAAAGUAUCGGAACGUGCCCAGUCGUGGGGGAUAACGUAGCGAAAGUUACGCUAAUACCGCAUACGAUCUAUGGAUGAAAGCGGGGGAUCGCAAGACCUCGCGCGAUUGGAGCGGCCGAUAUCAGAUUAGGUAGUUGGUGGGGUAAAGGAUCACCAAGCCGACGCUCUGUAGCUGGUCUGAGAGGACGGCCAGCCACACUAGGAUUGAGACACGGCCGGGACUCCUACGGGAGGCAGCAGGGGGGAAUUUGGGACAAUGGGCGAAAGCCUGAUCCAGCCAUGCCGCGUGCAGGAUGAGGGCCUUCGGGUUGUAAACUGCUUUUGUACGGAACGAAAAGGUUUGGCCUAAUAAGCUGAGCUCAUGACGGUACCGUAAGAAUAAGCACCGGCUAACUACGUGCCAGCCGCCGCCGUAA
rnacentral:rRNA from 1 species